CUCUGCACAGACCUGGAGAAUGAUAUGACAUAUUCCUCAGAAAAGGUUCUGGAGAGAGCACAACGGCAGGAAGAAAUCAUCCAUGAUGCUGACCCACAUGUGACUUGCAGCACCCUGUCAUUCCAGAAGAAACCAGCUUCACAGAGAAAACCUCAGCUCUUUGUCAGCCUGAGUUUUUGGGCUUUGACAAUUCACUGUACUCAUUAUAAUGAAUAGACACUCCUUACAAUAAAUAUAUAGCGGAUCAUGUCCACAGGAGACAACUGACCUCACUGGAUUAAAAUAUUAGUCUUUCUUACUGCAGAAGCUUAAUAAUAAUAAUCAAACAUAUAUUUCCCAGCUAUAGCAAGUGCUAGUAGACUGUUAAACUACAGCAAAACACAUGGAUCAAGAUAGAAUAAAUUUAAUAAAGAU